GACGAACGCUGGCGGCGUGCUUAACACAUGCAAGUCGUGCGGUAAGGCCCUUUCGGGGGUACACGAGCGGCGAACGGGUGAGUAACACGUGAGCAACCUGCCCUUCACUUUGGGAUAACUGCCGGAAACGGUGGCUAAUACCGGAUAUGACUUCCUCACGCAUGUGGGGUGGUGGAAAGCCUUCGGGUGGUGGGGGAUGGGCUCGCGGUCUAUCAGCUUGUUGGUGGGGUGAUGGCCUACCAAGGCUUAGACGGGUAGCCUGCCUGAGAGGGUGACCGGCCACACUGGGACUGAGGCACGGCACAGACUCGUACGGGAGGCAGCAGUGGGGAAUAUUGGACAAUGGGCGAAAGCCUGAUCCAGCGACGCCGCGUGGGGGAUGACGGCCUUCGGGUUGUAAACCUCUUUCGCCUGCGACGAAGCGAGAGUGACGGUAGCAGGUAAAGAAGCACCGGCCAACUACGUG
rnacentral:rRNA from 1 species